rnacentral:tRNA from 1 species
UGGGCUGUGGCUCAGUGGCAGAGCAUCAGCUUGGCAUGCAGAAGGUCUCAGGUUCAAUUCCCAUCCUUGACCUGAGACCCCAG